rnacentral:rRNA from 1 species
GUCGAACGCCCCGCAAGGGGAGUGGCAGACGGGUGAGUAACGCGUGGGAACAUACCCUUUCCUGCGGAAUAGCUCCGGGAAACUGGAAUUAAUACCGCAUACGCCCUACGGGGGAAAGAUUUAUCGGGGAAGGAUUGGCCCGCGUUGGAUUAGCUAGUUGGUGGGGUAAAGGCCUACCAAGGCGACGAUCCAUAGCUGGUCUGAGAGGAUGAUCAGCCACAUUGGGACUGAGACACGGCCCAAACUCCUACGGGAGGCAGCAGUGGGGAAUAUUGGACAAUGGGCGCAAGCCUGAUCCAGCCAUGCCGCGUGAGUGAUGAAGGCCUUAGGGUUGUAAAGCUCUUUCACCGGAGAAGAUAAUGACGGUAUCCGGAGAAGAAGCCCCGGCUAACUUCGUGCCAGCAGCCGCGGUAAUACGAAGGGGGCUAGCGUUGUUCGGAAUUACUGGGCGUAAAGCGCACGUAGGCGGAUAUUUAAGUCAGGGGUGAAAU